rnacentral:rRNA from 1 species
ACAGUGGACGCGAGCAUCUGUGGCCAAGUUUUUAAGGGCGCACGGUGGAUGCCUUGGCACCAGGAACCGAUGAAGGACGUGGGAGGCCGCGAUAGGCCCCGGGGAGCUGUCAACCAAGCUUUGAUCCGGGGGUGUCCGAAUGGGGAAACCCGGCAGUCGUCAUGGGCUGUCACCCUUACCUGAACACAUAGGGUAAGUGGAGGGAACGAGGGGAAGUGAAACAUCUCAGUACCCUCAGGAAGAGAAAACAACCGUGAUUCCGGGAGUAGUGGCGAGCGAAACCGGAUGAGGCCAAACCGUAUGCGUGUGAUACCCGGCAGGGGUUGCGCAUGCGGGGUUGUGGGAUCUCUCUUUCACGGUCUGCCGGCCGUGAGACGAGUCAGAAACCGUUGAUGUAGGCGAAGGACAUGCGAAAGGUCCGGCGUAGAGGGUAAGACCCCCGUAGCUGAAACAUUGACGGCUCGUUUGAGAGACACCCAAGUAGCACGGGGCCCGAGAAAUCCCGUGUGAAUCUGGCGGGACCACCCGCUAAGCCUAAAUAUUCCCUGGUGACCGAUAGCGGAUAGUACCGUGAGGGAAUGGUGAAAAGUACCGCGGGAGCGGAGUGAAAUAGUACCUGAAACCGUGUGCCUACAAGCCGUGGGAGCGUCGCUCACAUCUUCGGAUGUGGGUCGUGACUGCGUGCCUUUUGAAGAAUGAGCCUGCGAGUUUGCGGUGUGUUGCGAGGUUAACCCGUGUGGGGAAGCCGUAGCGAAAGCGAGUCCGAACAGGGCGAUUCAGUAGCGCGCUCAAGACCCGAAGCGGAGUGAUCUAGCCAUGGGCAGGUUGAAGCGGAGGUAAGACUUCGUGGAGGACCGAACCCACCAGGGUUGAAAACCUGGGGGAUGACCUGUGGUUAGGGGUGAAAGGCCAAUCAAACUCCGUGAUAGCUGGUUCUCCCCGAAAUGCAUUUAGGUGCAGCGUCGUGUGUUUCUUGCCGGAGGUAGAGCACUGGAUAGGCGAUGGGCCCUACCGGGUUACUGACCUUAGCCAAACUCCGAAUGCCGGUAAGUGAGAGCGCGGCAGUGAGACUGUGGGGGAUAAGCUCCAUGGUCGAGAGGGAAACAGCCCAGAGCAUCGACUAAGGCCCCUAAGCGUACGCUAAGUGGGAAAGGAUGUGGAGUCGCAGAGACAACCAGGAGGUUGGCUUAGAAGCAGCCACCCUUGAAAGAGUGCGUAAUAGCUCACUGGUCAAGUGAUUCCGCGCCGACAAUGUAGCGGGGCUCAAGCGUACCGCCGAAGUCGUGUCAUUCCAGCAUGAGGGCCAACGCCCGCUGGGAUGGGUAGGGGAGCGUCGUGUGCCGGGUGAAGCAGCCGCGGAAGCGAGUUGUGGACGGUUCACGAGUGAGAAUGCAGGCAUGAGUAGCGAUACACACGUGAGAAACGUGUGCGCCGAUUGACUAAGGGUUCCUGGGUCAAGCUGAUCUGCCCAGGGUAAGUCGGGACCUAAGGCGAGGCCGACAGGCGUAGUCGAUGGACAACCGGUUGAUAUUCCGGUACCCGCUUUGAAGCGCCAGCGCUGAACCCAGCGAUGCUAAGCCCGUGAAACCGCCGUGUGCGUCUUCGGACAAGCACGGAGUGGUGGAGCCGGUGGCCCAGACUGGUAGUAGGUGAGCGAUGGGGUGACGCAGGAAGGUAGUCCAGCCCGGGCGGUGGUUGUCCCGGGGUAAGGGUGUAGGACGUCACGUAGGCAAAUCCGCGUGACACAUAGUCUGAGACCUGAUGCCGAGCCGAUUGUGGUGAAGUGGAUGAUCCUAUGCUGUCGAGAAAAGCCUCUAGCGAGUUUCAUGGCGGCCCGUACCCUAAACCGACUCAGGUGGUCAGGUAGAGAAUACCGAGGCGUUCGGGUGAACUAUGGUUAAGGAACUCGGCAAAAUGCCCCCGUAACUUCGGGAGAAGGGGGGCCACGCCUGGUGAUGGAGUUUACCUCCGGAGCUGGGGGUGGCCGCAGAGACCAGCGAGAAGCGACUGUUUACUAAAAACACAGGUCCGUGCGAAGCCGUAAGGCGAUGUAUACGGACUGACGCCUGCCCGGUGCUGGAACGUUAAGGGGACCGGUUAGCUUGGAUUCGUCCAGGCGAAGCUGAGAACUUAAGCGCCAGUAAACGGCGGUGGUAACUAUAACCAUCCUAAGGUAGCGAAAUUCCUUGUCGGGUAAGUUCCGACCUGCACGAAUGGCGUAACGACUUCUCGACUGUCUCAACCAUAGGCCCGGUGAAAUUGCACUACGAGUAAAGAUGCUCGUUUCGCGCAGCAGGACGGAAAGACCCCGGGACCUUUACUACAGUUUGAUAUUGGUGUUCGGUUCGGCUUGUGUAGGAUAGGUGGGAGACUUUGAAGCUGUGACGCCAGUCAUGGUGGAGUCGCCGUUGAAAUACCACUCUGGUCGUGCUGGAUGUCUAACCUGGGUCCGUGAUCCGGAUCAGGGACAGUGUCUGAUGGGUAGUUUAACUGGGGCGGUUGCCUCCUAAAGGGUAACGGAGGCGCCCAAAGGUUCCCUCAGCCUGGUUGGCAAUCAGGUGUUGAGUGUAAGUGCACAAGGGAGCUUGACUGUGAGACCGACGGGUCGAGCAGGGACGAAAGUCGGGACUAGUGAUCCGGCGGUGGCUUGUGGAAGCGCCGUCGCUCAACGGAUAAAAGGUACCCCGGGGAUAACAGGCUGAUCUUCCCCAAGAGUCCAUAUCGACGGGAUGGUUUGGCACCUCGAUGUCGGCUCGUCGCAUCCUGGGGCUGGAGUCGGUCCCAAGGGUUGGGCUGUUCGCCCAUUAAAGCGGUACGCGAGCUGGGUUUAGAACGUCGUGAGACAGUUCGGUCCCUAUCCGCUGUGCGCGUAGGAAUAUUGAGAAGGGCUGUCCCUAGUACGAGAGGACCGGGACGGACGAACCUCUGGUGUGCCAGUUGUUCUGCCAAGGGCAUGGCUGGUUGGCUACGUUCGGGAGGGAUAACCGCUGAAAGCAUCUAAGCGGGAAGCCUGCUUCGAGAUGAGUAUUCCCACCUCCUUGAGAGGGUAAGGCUCCCAGUAGACGACUGGGUUGAUAGGCCGGAUAUGGAAGCCCAGUGAUGGGUGGAGUUGACCGGUACUAAUAGGCCGAGGGCUUGUCCUCAGUUG